GUUUACAGCCAAACCACCCUGCACUCGUCUGAUCUUAGAAGCUAGUAGGGUCGGGCUUGGUUAGAGUUGGAUGGGGGAACAUCAGGUGCUGUUUGGG
rnacentral:rRNA from 1 species